rnacentral:rRNA from 1 species
UACGUAGGGGGCUAGCGUUGUCCGGAAUCAUUGGGCGUAAAGCGCGUGUAGGCGGUCCGGUAAGUCCGCUGUGAAAGUCGGGGGCUCAACCCUCGAAUGCCGGUGGAUACUGUCGGGCUAGAGUGCGGAAGAGGCGAGUGGAAUUCCUGGUGUAGCGGUGAAAUGCGCAGAUAUCAGGAGGAACACCAAUGGCGAAGGCAGCUCGCUGGGACGUUACUGACGCUGAGACGCGAAAGCGUGGGGAGCAAACAGG